rnacentral:rRNA from 1 species
AGAGUUUGAUCCUGGCUCAGGACGAACGCUGGCGGCGUGCCUAACACAUGCAAGUCGAACGAAGCUUGACGAAUGAUUUCUUCGGAAUGAAAUCUGAUAUGACUGAGUGGCGGACGGGUGAGUAACGCGUGAGCAACCUGCCCUUCGGAACGGGAUAGUGUCUGGAAACGGACAGUAAUACCGUAUAACGUAUUUUUACCGCAUGAUAGAAAUACCAAAACUGAGGUGCCGAAGGAUGGGCUCGCGUCUGAUUAGAUAGUUGGUGGGGUAACGGCCUACCAAGUCGACGAUCAGUAGCCGGACUGAGAGGUUGAACGGCCACAUUGGGACUGAGACACGGCCCAGACUCCUACGGGAGGCAGCAGUGGGGAAUAUUGCACAAUGGGGGAAACCCUGAUGCAGCAACGCCGCGUGAAGGAAGACGGUUUUCGGAUUGUAAACUUCUGUUCUUAGUGAAGAAUAAUGACGGUAGCUAAGGAGCAAGCCACGGCUAACUACGUGCCAGCAGCCGCGGUAAUACGUAGGUGGCAAGCGUUGUCCGGAAUUACUGGGUGUAAAGGGAGCGUAGGCGGGAUGCCAAGUCAGCUGUGAAAACUAUGGGCUUAACCUGUAGACUGCAGUUGAAACUGGUAUUCUUGAGUGAAGUAGAGGUUGGCGGAAUUCCGAGUGUAGCGGUGAAAUGCGUAGAUAUUCGGAGGAACACCGGUGGCGAAGGCGGCCAACUGGGCUUUAACUGACGCUGAGGCUCGAAAGUGUGGGGAGCAAACAGGAUUAGAUACCCUGGUAGUCCACACUGUAAACGAUGAUAACUAGGUGUGGGGGGUCUGACCCCUUCCGAGAUCGGAAGAGCGUCGUGU